GCCUACGGGAGGCAGCAGUGGGGAAUCUUGCACAAUGGGGGAAACCCUGAUGCAGCGACGCCGCGUGAGCGAUGAAGCCCUUCGGGGUGUAAAGCUCUUUCGGCAGGGAAGAUGAUGACGGUACCUGCAGAAGCAGCUGCGGCUAACUACGUGCCAGCAGCCGCGGUC
rnacentral:rRNA from 1 species